GACAAAAACAAAACGCAGGCGGUCUGUCAAGUCGGAUGUGAAAUCCCCGGGCUCAACCUGGGAACUGCAUUCGAAACUGGCAGGCUUGAGUCUUGUUGAGGGGGGUAGAAUUCCAGGUGUAGCGGUGAAAUGCGUAGAG
rnacentral:rRNA from 1 species